GCCGGGGCCCGCCGCCGCCUCCUCCUCGCCCCCCCAGCUGACGCUGCUGGUGAUGCAGCCGUGCAGCGGCGACGAGGAGGCGGCGGCGGCGGGGGGCACCGGGCGGCACCAGGGCCCCGCGCAGGCCCCGGAGACCUCCGGAGGCCUCGUGUUCCUGUGCGAGGUCUGCCCCAGCGAGGGCGAGGGGGACGCGGCCGAGGAGGGCGAGCCGGCGGGCGGCGAGAGCACGGCCAGCCCCGAGGAGCUGGAGGACGACGAGGCGGCGGCGGCCUCCGGCGGGGAGGCCCCCGCGGGGGGCGGGGGCUGCAAGAGCUGCACGUACCAGGGCUGCAGCGAGACCACCACGCAGGUGGCCAAGCAGCGCAAGCCCUGGAUGUGCAAGCGCCACCGCAACAAGAUGUACAAGGACAAGUACAAGCGCAAGAAGAGCGACCAGGCCCUGGGCGGCGGGGCCGGGGCGCCCCCAGCGCAGGGCGGGGCUGCCACCCCGGGGGGCAGCGCGCGGGCCGAGGAUUGUGUUGAUGGCUCAGUUUCUGUUACAAAACAAAGAACAGGGUCUAUUGGAGAUCGCCCAGCAAGACCUACUCUUUUAGAACAAGUAUUGAAUCAGAAAAGGCUGUCAUUAUUAAGAAGUCCGGAGGUGGUACAGUUUCUGCAGAAACAGCAGCAACUGUUAAGUCAACAAGCUUUGGAACAAAGGCAGCAACAGUUUCCAGGAGCACCUGUGUGAUGAGGACAAAGAUCUGCAGCAGAAUCUCAUGCUGAAGUGGUGGAGGGAUAUGUAUCUUACAUAAGUGAAAAAAGGUUAUACAACUGAGUGACUGCGUACAUGAGUCUAACUCAGACUAUGUGGGAGUAAGAAGGAACUGGAGAGGCGUUGACCCUCACUGCCUCUUAUACCCUAGGUCAAGAGCACAAGGAGAUCUACUGUGCAUGUGCGGGCCAACGGACACUGCUAUGAAAAAAUUCCAGACUUGGGUGCACGGUGCAAAUGCAUACCCACAUGUGGAAUACACAUAGGGACCAGCACUCGAAAAAGAACAAUAGGCCUUCCUGCUCUGAAGAAUAUAUAAUAAUUCUUUGGCUAAGAAUUUUUCCCUGGGAAGCAGUACAAAUACUUGUAUAUUUUCAGUUUCUCCAGCAGCAGAUUUACCUCCAUUGGGCAAUGAUAGCACUAACUGAUUGUCAGCUGUUGCAUCCACUGAUCGUCCAUUUUGGUUUCCUGGUGUUUCUCUUGCAUUGUAAGGUGGGGGUGUUUCAACUAAAAAACAGAAAGACACUGAGAUCAGCAAGUUGGUAAAUUCUACCCAGGUCUGCCUGGGAACUAUUCAGCAUAGUUUUAACUAGAGAAGGGUCCAAAACAGAACCCGAGUCUGAAUCCCUGCCCUCCUCAAACUCCAGGUCAAACCCCUGGAGAUGCACCUGUCCCUAUGGUUUAGACUCUGUGUCAGGUCCAAAGGCAGACGAGUCCUAAUUUCCAAAUACAGAUUGGAUGUGGCCCAAGAUGACAGAAAUUUCAGCUUUGAUUUUGGCACUGGUUAGUCUGCACCCAGACCCAGUUUUGCCUCAAACCCAAACUCCAUGGAAAGAGACUGGCAUCCAUCUUAAGGGUGGAGUUCCAUAAGUGGGCUCCCUGAACCCAGCCUGCUUCACAUGGAAUCCUGGUGAGGAUGCAGAGCAAAGACACACUAGCUGACCUCAACUGCCUUGACAGGGGGAGAGAGCCGCACACAGGCCUAGACUAAUAUACAGUCAGCAAGACCUGGAAAUGAAUCAGAUGGAUUACAGGCAGAAUGUGGAAUCCAGGAAUUGCUACCUGCCUUGCCCUAUGCCAUGAAGCAAAUGAGAGCCAUUGCAUUCUGCAGCCACUGUAGCCUCUGGAUCAGAUUCAAGCAAAGACCAAACAGGACUGAAUUACAAUAGUCUAGCCAGGAGGUGAGGAACGUGGGUAUAGCUGUAGUGAAUUCUGCAUUUGACAGAACUGGGCAAUUUCCAGGUCUAGUGAUAGCCACUGUGAAGUAGUGUUGUACUAGGAGUUUCCAUUCUGGAAAGCAAUGCAGAAUGACCCCUAUUCUCCUGACCUCCCUCGCAAGUGGUGGCCUCGCCCAGUGCAUAACAGAGGUGCAUAAAGCAUCCACAACCACUUCAAAAUGGGAGGUGCCAGAAACAUGACAUAAGCUUUAUCGGGACUGAGUUUCAGCCAACUGUCCCCCAUCUAAACAAAUCUGUCUGCAAGACAACCAAGAGAUAGUUAAAGCAGGACAACAGGAAAGGAGGCACAGAGGUAAAAGUCACUAGUAUCACUCCAUAUCCCAGUCCAUACCCUUAUCUCCCAUCAGGCUCAUACACGUUCAACAAGAUAAGGAACUGAACAGACAUAGCAGGGAAACUGGACAAUGAUGAGCUCUUAGCUUUUAGGAAUUCUCUUCUACAAGGCAGCUCAGUCACAGAAGAGUCGUGACAACACCCACACCUACCAUGGACCACAGCUAGGCUACCAACACCUAGUGAUAGGCCUAACAUAAUUAGCAGGGAGCAGACGCCUUAGUCCCUUACUGGCAGAUCUUCCACCAUGUUAAUCAGAACUCUCUGGGUCAUGAAAUGGUCUGGUUCUAGAUGUACAAAGAUGUAUUUAAACAAAAAUGAUCUAAUCCAGGUGGGAUUAACCCAAUCCCCACUGUCUCAAUAACCGCUCUCACAAAUGGAGGUGCAGAGGCUGGCCAGUAAUUUGCAGAAUGAAUAUUUUAGAACAGAGGCUGCAGUUCCACACAUGUAUGUGCAGAGGGAGUCUGGCCUCUCAAACGUUUGAUCACCUCCACUAGUACCUUCCCUCUAGCCUUAACCAACCAAGAUAAUCUAUGGCAUUGGCAGCUGGCUACCAAUGACAGCCUGCCUCUCAGAAAGAGACACAAGCUGAUGACACUCACGCAGGACAGAAGGGGUAUUCAUCCCCUCACACUGUGGAGAGGGCCAACUCUCUUCUGACCAAUCUUCUUGUUAAAGAACCAUAUGCACUAAUGAAAAAUAAACAAAUGAACUACAAAAACAGCCCUCCUAAUUCCCAAAUUGUUUCAUUUACAGAACAGCAGCCUAGGAACAGGAAAGCAUCCUCCAUUCUAAUAUAUGCCAAGAAGGAAUAGAGUGUGUUGGAAAGCUGAAAUAAAGACCUUGUUUUCAUGUUAGAAAACACAGAUGUAGACCUCGAUCCUGCAAACACUUAAGCAUGGGAGUCAAUUUAUUCAUGGGAGUAGUAACUUAAUGGGACUACAAACAAGUAAAGUUGCACAGGUGUUUACAUGUUUGCAGGACUAAUAAAAGUAUUUAGGUUGAAAUUCACUCCUGUGCAGAGAGACAGCAAAAGACAUCUAUGUCGACCUGGCUUGAUGUGAGUAAUUGGGCAUGGGUGAGAGUUGAUUUAUUUGGAGAUAGGAUUAGAGAGGAAAAUGGAUCAGCAGGCUGAAAAUGGCAUGUCUGCACCGGCUAAGGUAAGUGGGAAAACACCCAGGGAACCAUUUACAAUGGACAAGCUAAGUCGGAAACAUAAAGAUGGGGUAAAGAAUAAGUUGUACAUGCACAGAGCAUGC